CUGACGAAGGGAGUUUGCUAGCAGGCACCUCACUGGAAGAAAUACCUGAAUAUGAAGAGAACAAAAAAAUUUUAAAAACAGAAGGAAACAGAAUGUAAUAUUUUAGAGGUGCUUUUCUGCUCAACUGCUGAAGAGGCAUGAAGAGCACUGCAUUAAGUAGCGCAAGCCUAAUGACAGAGACUUAUAGGAGCUCAUUUAGUCAUGCUGCAUAUCAUUCAAAGAUCAUUAUAUGUUUUCAAGUCCAACAGAAAUCAUCAAAAUGUCAAGCUGAAAUUCAGCACUCUGCAAAUGCUGACCAAAGUCCUGCCCGAGGAGCAGCGGAUGCAGUAGAUUGUGCUGACUCAGUGAAGUCAUAGGUCUUGAGUAUCUUCAGCACCUCUGUUGUUUGAACUGGGUGGCCUCCCUUGAUGAACUCAAAGCAUUGUGAAAAAUCAAGCUUGUCCCUCAUCCCUGAUCUGUGACUCCACAGUGUCUAUGCAUAUGCCUGAAUCUUGAUAUCUUUGCAGGAUGUCAGUUCACAGCAAGUUAGAUGUGCUCUAGUCAUCUAAGAAGAAGGUAUUACAUGUUCACUUACGUUCUUGCUGAGAUCAAGGAAGCCUUUUUGACGCUGGUUUGUGAAGAAUCAUGACUGAACACUUAUUUUCUUCUGUUGCCCAUUUCUUCUCAAGAUCUUCUUUCUUCAUGAGGUGACCUCAGUUUAUUUGUGAGUGGAGGGUACUAUUAUUUACAACAAAUGAUUUCCACAGGUCUCUCAAGCUUUAUCCAGCACUUCAUUUUUCUAUCAGUUUUCACUGUCACAGAAUCCAUGGAUACCUUGUGUAGGGACAAAAGCACUUCAUAUCUUUACAGAAAAUUGUAUCCUGAUGACGACCCUGUUCUCAUUAACUUUAAAUGAAGACCAAAUCGAAGGAGUGAGGCUGAUAUUGGACCAGUGAAGUGAGAUCACUAUGAUGAAAUUUGUCUCCUUGGUAAAAUUAGUCAGUUCAGCCAUUCACAGAAAAUAGCACUGUAAAUGAGUCUCUAAAGAGCAAUAAAAGAAGCAUGAGAGAAGAGAAAAAUAACGCUGUAUUUACAAUGUUUAUGCACACAUAGACAUUUACAAUCACUGUUUUGGGAAUAAGUAAAUAAUAAGUAUUGAUUUUGCCAGGUACCAUGUAAAGCUUGUACUUUGACUUCACUGUAGGCCUCACAAGAGAAAUUGGUUUUGGGAAGGCAGUUAAAGAGGAAAAGAAAAAUAGAUUUACAAGUUUUUAACAACCUUAAAGCAAGUCACUAAUUACAUUACCAUAGGUACUAACACUAAUUUCCUUCUGUGAUAGAAUCAUUAGCUUCAUUGAAGAGAUCUCCCUGUCCGCUAGGAUUAAGCUUGUCCCAGUGGUAAGAUCUAUGUGGAAUGACAGUACUACAGACAUUAGAGCAAGAUUUGCUCACUUUGCACAUGCAUGUCUUCAGAGCCAUCCUUGUCAGCAACCAAUGUGUACUCUGUAGUUAUCUGAAUUCAUCUUUCAGAUGACAGCAGUAGGACCCCUUUUCAAAUUGAACCAAUUUGUGUCUAAACACACAUUUUCUAAGUAGUAUUCACGCAGAAUACUGCCCAAACUUUCCUCAGAAGACGAACUGCUGUAUCAGUGCAAGCAGUGCAAGAAGUUCUGGAGAACAGAAAAAUCUGGAUGCAAAAUUUUGUUAAUAAAUAAAGACUAUUCUUGAGCACUUGUCCCUGAACAUGUAACAGAUCCAGUAAGUAAUAAGUUCUAAGAGAAGUGUAAGAGAUUGCUCUUAAAUGAUUUGCCAUUAGCAAAUAUCUGCAGUAUUUCACCAAAACCAACAAAUUUCAUGCCUCCAGAGAGAAAAGGCUGUUUAUUAUGCUAACAUCAAGUGUUGCAACACUCAACAUACACAUUGUUAAUGCAUAAACUGUAUUGUUUCAGCUGCAGCGUCCUCAUUCCCCACUAUUCCCUGUGUUGCUAUCAGCUUUCUUAAUUUGUUGUGUGAUGUGCAUUUCUUUUUAUCCUUUCUUAUUUUUUUCUGUGCAGUAAACAUUUGCAAAGCUAAAUAAGCAAGUAUGAUUGUGAUUUUAUUAAAAUAAGAAUAGAGUGAAACUAACACAUGGUAAUUAUCUAAGACAGAGGGACGUUUGCACGAUCUAUGUGUGUAAUUUCAAGAUGUGGUAUAUCUUCAUGACAGAACAUAAGAGAGAGAAAGAACUUCUGAGUUUUACACUUGUGUCCUUUUGCCAGUUUCCUAAAUAUUCUUGACCAACGUCUCUUUUGCAUUCUUUCUUAAGAAAUCAAUAAUAUAUUUUUACAAUCCCAUGGGAUUGUGGUGAGAAUUAUUUAUCAAGUACAUAGAUAAUUUCCAGCAAAUGAAAGCACUGCGGGUUGCUGUUCCUAUUACCUGUUCCUCACACUUUCUGUGACAGAACUGCUGACUGGAGCCUACUGAGCAUAUCACACUUUGCUGUGGGAACUGGUUACAUAUUUUUUGGACAAAUUGUAGGCUAUCAAAUGAUUAGAGAACAGAUAACUCCUUUUUUUUUUUUUUUUUCUUCUUUCUUUUCCUUUCUAUUUUUUUUUUCUUUUUUAAAAUUUAAUUGUGGCUUAAAUUUAAUGAUUUUAAUAUACAAAAUUUACCCUGUACCUCUUGCAGCCUCACUUGACUUGGAAGCAGGCUAAAAAGAACUGUCCUAAUGUGUAACUUCUAAAUGGCUUUGAUAGAAAUAAGAGUUAGAUGUUAAAACCAGAAAUAAAGGGAAUGUGAGUGCCUUUGCUAGGUAUCCUUAAGAGGCAAUUCUUUCUUGUUUGCAAACAUUUAGUCUGUGAUUAAAACACGGGAAGACUUUAUUAAUGGUUGAGGAAAACACAGUAACAUAAGUAAAUAAAUGAAAUAUCCACACCCAUCAUAUCUCUGGCAGCAGUUCUUUAGUUCACUUCCCUACCAAGCAGUGCCAAAAUCCAAGGAGCUAACAUCCUUUUAACUCUUUAUGUUCUCCUUUUUC
ensembl:lncRNA